GACGAACGCUGGCGGCGUGCUUAACACAUGCAAGUCGAACGAAGAGCGAUGGAAGCUUGCUUCUAUCAAUCUUAGUGGCGAACGGGUGAGUAACGCGUAAUCAACCUGCCCUUCAGAGGGGGAUAACAGUUGGAAACGACUGCUAAUACCGCAUACGAUCUAAUCUCGGCAUCGAGGAUAGAUGAAAGGUGGCCUCUACAUGUAAGCUAUCACUGAAGGAGGGGAUUGCGUCUGAUUAGCUAGUUGGAGGGGUAACGGCCCACCAAGGCGAUGAUCAGUAGCCGGUCUGAGAGGAUGAACGGCCACAUUGGGACUGAGACACGGCCCAGACUCCCACGGGAGGCAGCAGUGGGGAAUCUUCCGCAAUGGACGAAAGUCUGACGGAGCAACGCCGCGUGAGUGAUGACGGCCUUCGGGUUGUAAAGCUCUGUUAAUCGGGACGAAAGGCCUUCUUGCGAAUAGUGAGAAGGAUUGACGGUACCGGAAUAGAAAGCCACGGCUAACUACGUG
rnacentral:rRNA from 1 species